GUGGGGAAUAUUGGACAAUGGGCGCAAGCCUGAUCCAGCCAUGCCGCGUGAGUGAUGAAGGCCUUAGGGUUGUAAAGCUCUUUCAGUAGGGAAGAUAAUGACGGUACCUACAGAAGAAGCCCCGGCUAACUUCGUGCCAGCAGCCGCGGUAAUACGAAGGGGGCUAGCGUUGUUCGGAUUUACUGGGCGUAAAGCGCACGUAGGCGGAUUGGUCAGUUAGAGGUGAAAUCCCGAAGCUCAACUUCGGAACUGCCUUUAAUACUGCCAGUCUCGAGUCCGGAAGAGGUGAGUGGAACUCCUAGUGUAGAGGUGGAAUUCGUAGAUAUUAGGAAGAACACCAGUGGCGAAGGCGGCUUACUGGUCCGGAACUGACGCUGAGGUGCGAAAGCGUGGGGAGCAAACAGGAUUAGAUACCCGAGUAGUCC
rnacentral:rRNA from 1 species